UGUCUGUAACAGAAGAGGCAAUUCACUGUUCUCAAGCAUAGAGAGCAGCACAACACAAACAGUGCCACCACAACUGCUGCUCCACACAGAGACAAGCAGAGCAGAAGCAGAAUUCUGCAACUCAGAGCUCGCCUGCAGAGAAAUCAUCUGAAAGGUUUAGAAAUCAAGUCCUUGAUACUGAAUAAAAAGGCUGAAAACUUACUGAGCUGAACACUGAGCCCGUGAUCCUGCUCUGCUCGUCCCACAGCUCAGCGACUCCGAAGCGUGAGCAGAGCUAACAGGAGCCUUCCCUGAGCCCAUGAUGAGGCUCCAACAUCGCUGACCCCGAGGAUCUGACCUUCCAGCUCCUCCAGGACAAGAGCAAGAGCCUGUCCUAGAGCUGGAGCAAUGGCUCUCACCUAUUGCCACAGGAAGUGAGACAGAGCUCCUGUCCUGCCAGCAGGGCACCAAACCUGGCUGCAGGGAACUCGGGGUUAUUCUUAGCAACUCUCAGAUUUCAAUACAGCAACAGCAAGGGCUGAGAAAGGCAAACAGCGAAGUGCCUGUUCCCACUCCUUGUCCUGAUACGUUCUGUGUCGCAGUAAUUCCAGGUUUCUCCCAGGAACACACACUUGAUUUCCUCAGGGCUCUGGCCAAAGGCCCAUCCCCACAUGAUGCUCCAACAAGUCACCCUCCCACCUGUUUGCACCCUCUAAGAAUCGCUACAACAACGAAUAAACACUGCAAUUUGAAUACAACCCAAAUCAGACUCUGCAAAGACCGAAAUCACACUACAGAACUGUCACAAUAAAGGCAUUCGACCCUUUCAUCGAAAAUGAGCAGUGAGGGCAGAAAAUCUCUGAGCCCCUGCUUGGCUGUGCCUGGGGACUCCAGAGAGCACCAUGCUACCAGGCAGCAGCAAGCACGUUCACCCUGGCGAAGAGGAGACAGCUCCAUUUCAUUUUACAGCCCCUAAAUUUAACCCCUGGUGUCACUGUCAGGAACCCAAGUUCCCUGGCCAGCACAUCACGUGUGGGUUCUGCAAUCAGUUCCUUGAGUGUGCUGAGGGUCCUCACAACAACAUUUCUGACUAAUGUACUGAGCUCAGCGUGCCUCAGCAGCAGCCAGGGCUGCAGGUCACCCUCGGCUCUUACAAACAAGGCUGUGACAUCACCAGUGCUCACAAGGGCCAUUUCCCAAAAGGAAAUCAUCUCCCCCGCCCCCACCUGCCAAAGGGGUGUUUUACUACCCUGAGAGAGGCCUGAUGGAACACUUAAACAUGUGCUCACGUGGUAUUUCUAGCAAUACUUCCAACAGCCAGACUUGCUAAAGCCUCCAUUUCACUGGCACAUUACUGAGAUCGACAGCUCGUUCCAAAGGCUCCCUGAGACACACGGAUGUGUGAAGAGCUUUAAGGAACACCACAAACGUCCUCAUCGCUGAAAAAAGAAUCAAUGAAGAUGAAAAUACAGGUGGAAAGGAUUGCUGGGACAGGAAAUUCCACAGAGUGUGCCACAGCUGAGGGCCAGGCUGCAGGGAUCUCAGCUCUAACACUGCAGAGCCAAACACUUCUGCACAAAGGCACCUAUAAAUUAUUUCUUUAAAAAAAUUGAAAAAAAUUCACACAACAGACUUGCUGAUAAAUCAUUUGUUGGUGAAUAAAAGCCACCUUGGUGACUUGGUGGUUCUUAGUCAGUUAAAACCACAGCAGUGAAACAAUAACCAAGCUCAGAGAAACAGCCAGUCCCUUCCUCACUUGGUUACAUUCCAGACACCUGGAUUUGAAACAGUCUCCAGACAUUAUGACAGGUUGUGCCCUCCAGCUUUUACAUUCUGACCCAGUGGUGCCCAUCACCUUCGGUGCUGUCCGAGCAGGAGGUGCCAAUGCCCCCAUCCCUGCUCUCGGCCACGCUCGGACAGCGGCUGACGCGGCUCUGCGACUUCACGGACAGCAUCGGUGUCUUCCAGUCAGUCUCCAAGAACUUGCUCUUCUGAUAGGUGCUGGGGUCUGGAGGGAAAAAACAGGGAUAUUUAUGCUUUAGCCAACGGACUGAAGAGCCUUUUAAUACACCUAAUUAAGCCAUAUGUAAUUACCAGUGCUUCCAAAACUCAAACUGAUCCUUGCUUCACCCUCCGUGUUCCUGGUAAAAAAUAUCUUUUGCAAAAGGAAAUGGCAGGAAGCACAGGGAAGUCAAAUAAUAUCAACAGGAGACUGAAAAACAAUCUUGGUAAGGAAGUCAGAAUGCAGAAGUUGUAAAUUAUAUUCCCAUUGAUCAGUUUGGUCAUGUUACACCCAGCUGGUGCUCUGACUAAAAGGAGCAGCAGCAGCACGACAAAACCGGGCAAGUUAAAGAGGUAUUUCUGCAUUAACUCUAAAGAACUGUCCCAGACUCACCAGCUAUCAACUUAAGGGAGAAAUUCCUUAUCAAAUGAUUCUCUACCCUUGCAUGCUUUUUCAGGAGUAAGACUUUUGUGAACAAAAAGCUUCUGGUAGAGAAUCUUCUGAGGGCCACGUGUCUCCUCAGAGAAACUGAAACAGGAUCCGACAGCAGCAGGGCUUUGGAGAAAGGACUGUCCUUACCCGAUGGAUUGUUCUGCAGGAGCCUCAGGUCUGGAUCUUUCUCAGCAGCAGCCAUCUUAUCUAUCUAGAUUACUGGAUAAAUGAAUAAAAACCUUAUUUUAAGUGAGUAUAAUCCCCCACCCUGUUCCCACUAACCAAGCAAAGGGUACACACACAUCAGCUACUCAUCAGAGCAACACAGCAUUUAGUAUUUAAAUAGCUUCUCCUCACAAAAAUACCUGGUUUUUUUCUCUGCAGCAACAGAGGUAAUACUUAAAAAAAAACCCCAAAACAAACAAAACCUUGUAGGUUUUUUUUUAUGCCUGAGAAAACAGAAUUCCUAUUUACACCAUUCUCCAGGUACUCAGCAGCACCUUAUAGCUGUUACCCCUUGGCAGGUAUUUAUAGAGCACCUGUCACCACGGUGCCUACACACUGAAUUUGCGUCUAGAGAGACUAAAAAUUUCUCUUUAAAAGUCUUAACUCUCAACCAGAUCAUUCCUGCCCUCUGUAGAGGUCACUGAGCAACUACAUGAGGAAAAAAGUCCUUCAAAAAUCAGCCUUGCUGUUCCAUGAAUAGCAAGCUUUAUCUGUCCAGAGUUUUGGGUUAAUUUUUCUAUUUCUCUGAGUGCUUCAGACUUUCCUGUCUUUGAAAAUGCAAGUGCAAUUUACAUCUACACAGCAGAAAUUCAAGGCCUCUACAAACCCAUACUCAAUCCUCAAUCGGCAGCUCUUAUAUAUUUUUGUUAAACUGAUUCGAAGAGUUCAGAGAAAACAAUAAUUCCUAGAAAACAUUCAUAUACGCAGAUUUUACAACAUAGAAGAGGCACUGGGAAUACGGAUAAUGAAUCAGAAACAGCAUUUCACUCAGCAAAGAAAUAAAACACUUCUAGAUAAA